rnacentral:rRNA from 1 species
UACGGAGGGGGCGAGCGUUGUUCGGAGGUACUGGGCGUAAAGCGAGCGCAGGUGGUUUAAUAAGUCUGAUGUAAAAGGCAGUGGCUCAACCAUUGUGUGCAUUGGAAACUGUUAGACUUGAGUGCAGUAGAGGAGAGUGGAAUUCCAUGUGUAGCGGUGAAAUGCGUAGAUAUAUGGAGGAACACCGGUGGCGAAAGCGGCUCUCUGGACUGUAACUGACACUGAGGCUCGAAAGCGUGGGUAGCAAACAGG